rnacentral:rRNA from 1 species
AGAACGAACGCUGGCGGCAGGCUUAACACAUGCAAGUCGAGCGCCGUAGCAAUACGGAGCGGCAGACGGGUGAGUAACGCGUGGGAACAUACCCUCCGGUUCGGAAUAACUCAGGGAAACUUGAGCUAAUACCGGAUACGGCAUCGGAGAGAGAUCUCGGCGGCGAAAGAUUUAUCGCCGGAGGAUUGGCCCGCGUUCGAUUAGCUAGUUGGUGAGGUAACGGCUCACCAAGGCGACGAUCGAUAGCUGGUCUGAGAGGAUGAUCAGCCACAUUGGGACUGAGACACGGCCCAAACUCCUACGGGAGGCAGCAGUGGGGAAUAUUGGACAAUGGGCGCAAGCCUGAUCCAGCCAUGCCGCGUGAGUGAUGACGGCCUUAGGGUUGUAAAGCUCUUUCGCUAGGGACGAUAAUGACGGUACCUAGACAAGAAGCCCCGGCUAACUUCGUGCCAGCAGCCGC